rnacentral:rRNA from 1 species
UAAGCGGAGGAAAAGAAACUAACAAGGAUUCCCCUAGUAACUGCGAGUGAAGCGGGNAAAGCUCAAAUUUAAAAUCUGGUGGCCUUUGGUCAUCCGAGUUGUAAUUUAGAGAAGCGUCUUCCGCGCUGGACCGUGCACAAGUCUCCUGGAAUGGAGCGUCAUAGAGGGUGAGAAUCCCGUCUUUGGCACGGAUCCCGGUGCUUCUGUGAUGCGCUCUCGAAGAGUCGAGUUGUUUGGGAAUGCAGCUCAAAAUGGGUGGUGAACUCCAUCUAAAGCUAAAUAUUGGCGAGAGACCGAUAGCGAACAAGUACCGUGAGGGAAAGAUGAAAAGCACUUUGGAAAGAGAGUGAAACAGUACGUGAAAUUGUUGAAAGGGAAACGCUUGAAGUCAGUCGCGUCGUCCGAGACUCAGCCUCGCCUCGGCUUGGUGUACUUCUCGACCGACGGGUCAGCAUCAAUUUUCACCCCUUGGAUAAUGGCGAGGGAAAUGUGGCACCUUUGCGGGUGCGUUAUAGUCCCUCGUCGCAUGCAAGGGUCGGGAUUGAGGAACUCAGCACGCGCCUUUUGGUGUCGGGGCUUUUGCCCACGAUACGUGCUUAGGANGU